rnacentral:rRNA from 1 species
CCUACGGGAGGCAGCAGUGAGGAAUAUUGGUCAAUGGGCGCUAGCCUGAACCAGCCAAGUAGCGUGAAGGAUGACUGCCCUAUGGGUUGUAAACUUCUUUUAUAUGGGAAUAAAGUGCAGUAUGUAUACUGCUUUGCAUGUACCUUAUGAAUAAGGAUCGGCCAACUCCGUGCCAGCAGCCGCGGUAAUACGGAGGAUCCGAGCGUUCUCCGGAUUUAUUGGGUUUAAAGGGAGCGUAGGCGGGUUGUUAAGUCAGUUGUGAAAGUUUGCGGCUCAACCGUAAAAUUGCAGUUGAUACUGGCAGCCUUGAGUACAGUAGAGGUAGGUGGAAUUCGUGGUGUAGCGGUGAAAUGCUUAGAGAUCACGAAGAACUCCGAUUGCGAAGGCAGCCUGCUGGACUGUAACUGACGCUGAUGCUCGAAAGUGUGGGUAUCAAACAGGAUUAGAUACCCGAGUAGUC